ACGGAGCGAAAGCGACGUUCAACCGCAAAACAAGCAGAGGGGGCUUAGUGGUGGGGUGACUGCGUACCUUUUGUAUAAUGGGUCAGCGACUUAUAUUCUGUAGCAAGGUUAACCGAAUAGGGGAGCCGGAGGGAAACCGAGUCUUAAUUGGGCGUUAAGUUGCAGGGUAUAGACCCGAAACCCGGUGAUCUAGCCAUGGGCAGGUUGAAGGUUGGGUAACACUAACUGGAGGACCGAACCGACUAAUGUUGAAAAAUUAGCGGAUGACCUGUGGCUGGGGGUGAAAGGCCAAUCAAACCGGGAGAUAGCUGGUUCUCCCCGAAAGCUAUUUAGGUAGCGCCUCGUGAAUUCAUCUCCGGGGGUAGAGCACUGUUUCGGCUAGGGGGCCAUCCCGGCUUACCAACCCGAUGCAAACUGCGAAUACCGGAGAAUGUUAUCACGGGAGACACACGGCGGGUGCUAACGUCCGUCGUGAAGAGGGAAACAACCCAGACCGCCAGCUAAGGUCCCAAAGUCAUGGUUAAGUGGGAAACGAUGUGGGAAGGCCCAGACAGCCAGGAUGUUGGCUUAGAAGCAGCCAUCAUUUAAAGAAAGCGUAAUAGCUCACUGGUCGAGUCGGCCUGCGCGGAAGAUGUAACGGGGCUAAACCAUGCACCGAAGCUGCGGCAGCGAACGUAUCACCCAAGACAACUUUACGGAGUUGACGAUUGACGGAGCGAAGCGACGUCAAAGCGUUCAUUAAAGUCGAGUUGGCUUAGGGAUACGUUCGUUGGGUAGGGGAGCGUUCUGUAAGCCUGUGAAGGUGUGUCGUGAGGC
rnacentral:rRNA from 1 species